AUGAACGCUGGCGGCGUGCUUAACACAUGCAAGUCGCACGAAGCACUUUAUUUGAUUUCCUUCGGGACUGAUUAUUUUGUGACUGAGUGGUGGACGGGUGAGUAACGCGUGGGUAACCUGCCUUGUACAGGGGGAUAACAGUUGGAAACGGCUGCUAAUACCGCAUAAGCGCACGGCAUCGCAUGAUGCAGUGUGAAAAACUCCGGUGGUAUAAGAUGGACCCGCGUUGGAUUAGCUAGUUGGUGAGGUAACGGCCCACCAAGGCGACGAUCCAUAGCCGACCUGAGAGGGUGACCGGCCACAUUGGGACUGAGACACGGCCCAAACUCCUACGGGAGGCAGCAGUGGGGAAUAUUGCACAAUGGGCGAAAGCCUGAUGCAGCGACGCCGCGUGAGCGAAGAAGUAUUUCGGUAUGUAAAGCUCUAUCAGCAGGGAAGAUAAUGACGGUACCUGACUAAGAAGCACCGGCUAAAUACGUG
rnacentral:rRNA from 1 species